AUCAACUUUCGAUGGUAGGAUAGAGGCCUACCAUGGUGGUAACGGGUAACGGGGUGUUAGGGCACGACACCGGAGAGGGAGCCUGAGAAACGGCUACCACAUCCAAGGAUGGCAGCAGGCGCGCAAAUUACCCAAUCCCGACACGGGGAGGUAGUGACAAUAAAUAACAAUACGGGGUUCUUUCGGAUUUCGUAAUUGGAAUGAGUACAAUUUAAAUCUCUUAACGAGGAACAAUUGGAGGGCAAGUCUGGUGCCAGCAGCCGCGGUAAUUCCAGCUCCAAUAGCGUAUAUUAAAGUUGCUGCAGUUAAAAAGCUCGUAGUUGAAUUUCGGGACCAUCAUGUCGGUCGUGCCUCGGUACGUACUGGUAUUGUUGGUUUCUCCCUUCUGACGAACCAUGAUGUCAUUUAUUUGGUGUUGUGGGGAAUCAGGACUGUUACUUUGAAAAAAUUAGAGUGUUUAAAGCAGGCUCACGCUUGAAUACAUUAGCAUGGAAUAAUGAAAUAGGACGUUUGAUUCUAUUUUGUUGGUUUCUAGGAUCGACGUAAUGAUUAAUAGGGAUAGUUGGGGGCAUUAGUAUUCAAUUGUCAGAGGUGAAAUUCUUGGAUUUAUUGAAGACUAACUACUGCGAAAGCAUUUGCCAAGGAUGUUUUCAUUAAUCAAGAACGAAAGUUAGGGGAUCGAAGACGAUCAGAUACCGUCGUAGUCUUAACCAUAAACUAUGCCGACUAGGGAUCGGAUGAUGAUAAUUUUUUAAUGACUCAUUCGGCGCCUUACGGGAAACCAAAGUGUUUGGGUUC
rnacentral:rRNA from 1 species